rnacentral:rRNA from 1 species
UACGAAGGGGGCUAGCGUUGUUCGGAAUUACUGGGCGUAAAGCGCGCGCAGGCGGUUCUUCAAGUCAGAGGUGAAAGCCCAGGCUCAACUCUGGAAUGGCCUUUGAGACUAGAGAACUAGGGUACGGGAGAGGUGAGUGGAAUUCCGAGUGUAGAGGUGAAAUUCGUAGAUAUUCGGAAGAACACCAGUGGCGAAGGCGGCUCACUGGCCCGUUACCGACGCUCAGGCGCGACAGCGUGGGGAGCAAACAGG